GUUUUUUCUAUAUUUAAACAAAUUCUCACUUUGUUCUCAUUCCCAGUUCUCCAUCCGAUUUGUUUUUCAUACUUGAAACUCAUAUGGAAGAAAUUAAGUCCAGGUUCCAGAGAAUUUGUGUCUUCUGUGGUAGCAGUACGGGCAAGAAAGCCAGCUAUCAAGAAGCCGCUGUUGAGUUGGGCAAAGAAUUGGUGGAAAGAAGGAUUGAUUUGG
rnacentral:misc_RNA from 1 species